ACUACCCUUACCUUGACUGCUGACAGCAUGCUGUCCAAAUUGUGGACAAGCAGGACACUGGGACGUCAACUGCCCAUCUUUGCAGAGAUAAAGUAGGCUAGUCCUUCAAAAUUCCUGCUUCACAGAAAAGUCUGUCAGAUAUUCUGGGCCUGUCGCUGAAGAUGGAUGCUCCAAAGAUACAGAAGUACCUUGGGUAGUCGACUGUCCAGGCAGCCAGCAGACUCUGACAUUUCUAAAGUUUGAACGCUACCUGCUCUGUACCUCCUGGUAACUCAGGUAUGUGCCUGAGUGUGUAUGUAUGUGCACCUGGUGUAUGUAGGAGCCUGCAAAGGUCAGAAGAGAAUAUCAGAUUCCCUGGGACUGGAGUUACAUACCUGGUCAUGAGGCACCAUGAAGGUCCUGGGAACUGAAUUUGGUUUCUCUGGAAGAGCAGCCGACACUCUUAAAAUGCUGAGCCAUACAAGUCCCUUCCAGUCCGCGCCAGCACCGGGUCAUCUGGGUGCGGAGUUGGUGGACAUCCCCAAGGACUCUAGAGGACUCUCCACCUGAUUUUAGGACCACUGGUGAGUGGAACACAACUUCUGUUCCAUUCUAAUCGUGUGGGACCUGAGACAGCAUUAGGGAAGCAGAAAACCUGGCCUGACCAGGGUCACAAGUUCCUUCCUCGGCACCAGCACCUGGUCACCUUGGGUGCAGAGGCCGAGGCCCCCAAGGACCCUAGAGGACAGCUUCUGAGGCAGACCCCAUUUUGGGCUCCAGACAUCCGGGC
rnacentral:lncRNA from 1 species